CCUUCCCCCGCCCCCGCGCCCCGGGAGGGGGGCGGCGUGUCACUGCGGGGAACCCCCCCGGGGACCGGGAGCAGCGCGGGGCGGGUUGCGUCGCGUCAGACGCCGCCGAGCAAAGUUCCAUGCAUGACAUUUCUCAGCAAUGAAAAAGUCACCAAUGCCAUCAUCCCCAGCCAAACAGAAGGUGAGAGGGAUGGCAGGAGUCUUUCCUCUGACGCCUCCCCAGAAGCAAGUGGGGCUAAGCUGCAAUCAGGAGCAGCUGUGGUGCUGGAACAACCGGGCACAGAAGAGAGUCAGUACCUGGCAGAAAGAGGCUUUAAGGGCAAGACACUUCUCCUCAAAAUGGGCCACUGCCUGAUGGAGGAUGUGGCACCAGUGACGCAUAUACAUAUCACUCUCAAGCCUCCCAAAAUCACACCAACUGGUUCCAUUUAAGUCUGCUUUAAUGGCUCAGCAUUCACCAUAUACCAACAUCGUAUGGAGUUCAGAUGGAGAACACAGUAGAGGAGCAGCUGCACUGAUGGAGGCCCAAGAUCAUGACUCCUGACCAGGGGCACACAGUAGAUACAUACCACUGCAUUAAUGCCCCAAUGCACCUACAGCAGCUGUCUGGGGAUCUGUACUUUCUGCUUGGAACCUGCCUCCUGCUCUCACUCUGACAGUCCAGCCUUGCCAUAAAAUGUCUUCAACUGUAAUCCUGGAGUUAACAGCUGUGGAAAAGCAAACAUUCUUCCCUUAUUGCUUAGCCUGCAAGGAGAUGUGCCAGGGACUGACAAGUUCUCUGCCUGACCUUGGAUGAGGAAGAUAUAUUGAUAGUUCAUGGCUAGGUGGGGACAUGGAGAACUGGAGACAAUAGGCCAUAUCCUGUUCAUGGAAGAGAGCCAUUGCCCUUCUCUCAUGGGACCAGGUGAAAAGAGAUGAAUAAGACCAUGCACCCACUGCAACAGAGAGGCUCUUUCUACUGCUGUGUCCAAAAUACAAGGGAGUACAUGAUAUUUCUUCAAAUUACCACCAAUUCAAAGAGACAUUGAAGAGCAGUGGGAAAAGCUCUGCUUGACCCUGGGAGAAAGGAGAUGGCAUGGCAUUAUGUACUAACGGACUACCAGAUCAAAUACAAGCAGUAGUGACAGACAGAUAGAUGGGAUCAAACCCCAAAUCCAGCAUAUCCAUCCUGGGCAGAUCAUAACCACAUCCGACAACACAGGGGGCUCACGUUCUUACUCUUUCACCCUAUGUGAAGCUGGUCAAGCUAUAGUUUAAAUUAAAUUGAAAACUGAGUUGGUGCUCUGGGUCUCCCCUCCACCCACCUUUUCUACACCACAAAAGAAUCCAGCAUCUGCGGAGUGAAGUGCUUUCAACAAUAUUAUGCCCAUGAUCGUUGCUCACAAUUCAGUGGAUGGCACUGGGAGCUGCAUGACUGGAUCAUGAUAGGAUGUGGCCCCAUGUUUGGAAGUCAGGCAGCAAAUAUGAAUAAAACCAAAUAGCUUUUGUGGUCAGCCAAUCAAAGUCUCAAGUUCAGCCACCUGGCUGCCUUCUGAAAGGAGAAAAUAUUUCCCUAUGAGGUCACAGAGCUGUCUUUCCCUGAAACAUACGUCUAGUCCAUAUUCAUCCUUCUCCAAACGUUGUGCAGCCUUUAGAGCAGUUCCAGGCUAAUCACAGUCAGAAUUUCCCUUUUCCUUGCACUGCUUUAGUCACACACGACUGUCAACAUAGUUUCAAGAAGCUAUUUUCCAGGAUUAUCAUGCUAAAAAUUUAAGCCAGUGUUUCAGCUGCUGCUUUUCCAUAUUCCAAGUUUCUCUGGCUUGAAGAACUUCCAGAAUUGUUGCCGCUGCCACCGCCAAAGCUCAAAUAUAGGACAGAAGCCGAAAAUAAGGUUGAGGAGGAAUUAUUGGAAGGAAGCUUAAAGUCAAGUUCAAUUAGUCUUUAGCAUACAUUUCUAGCAGAGAUGUAUUUGAGAUAAAUUCCCAAUACAAGGAGAUCAAUGAGAUGGAAGCAAUGAUGAAUCAAUGGCUAGGAUGGGAAACAACUGACACUCCCCAUGCAAUGACAGCACCACAGCCCUAGAAGCCCACUGGCAUGGAAUGUUUUCAUUCAAGACCUUGCUGUUUAAAAAUUAAAAUGAGGGGCUUUUUAGGCGGUGGGUUAACAGCAGGUUAACUUUGGUUACUCUGGCUCAUUCCAGUGGCGAGAACAAGAGGAAGUUUAAAAAAAAAACCUCCCCCCUUUUCUAAACUAUUCCCAGAGAGAAUGAAGAAAUGCCCAUGUACAACUGAAGGCAAUAUGCAAGGGUAUGAGAGUGACCUGACCUUUCUGAAGAACUAACCUGGGGCUCACUCCCCUCAGUCACUUUUUGGCCUACAGCUUGUUAACCACUUGCCAGGAUCGCCUACAGCUGUGGCUCUCAACCAGCGGGACACAGAAGUCUCCCAGGGGGUACAUCAACUCAUCUAGAUAUUUGCCUAGUUUUAUAACUGGCUACAUAAAAAGCACUAGCGAAGUCAGUACAAAAUAAAAUUUCAUACAAUGACUUGUUUAUACUGCUCUACAUACUAUACACUGAAAAAAUGUGAGUGCAAUUGAUUUUAUAAUUGUAUGGGAAAAUGAGAAAGUAAGCAAUUUUUCAGUAACAGUGUGCUGUGACACCUUUGUAUUUUUAGGUCGGAUUUUCUAAGCAAAUAAUUUUCAGGUGAGGUGAAACAUGGGGGUAUGCAAGAAAUCAGACUCCUGAAAGGGGUACAGUAGUCAGGAAAAGUAGACAGGCAUUGAUAAUUUACACAUACGUUAUUUUUAAUGCAGCACUAGCAUCCUUCAAUGCUCCUGCACUUUUUCCCUUCUCAAAACUAGGCCCAAGGUUUCCCAAGGGAGUUGUAUUAGAAGAGUGGUUCCCAAACUGGGGUUCGCACAAUGUUACAAGAGGUUCGCCAGAAAAAUUUCACUAAUGGCAGCCAGAGGACCCCGGACACUGGAGGCACCAGGUGGAACCUGGUUGCAGGGCAGACAGCCCGAGCCCCAGGGAGAGCGAGGCAGGGCAGUUGGGGCUGGCAGCCCGAGCCCUGCCCCCAUCAGCGGGGGAGCCAGAUGCCCGAACCCUAGCACUCCACACGGGACUGGCAGCCUGACCCCCUGGCUGACCGGGGCCAGGCAGUUGGGGCUGGCAGCCCAAGCCCCCCCCCCCCGUCAGCAGGGGAGCCAGCUGCCUGAACCUCAGCGCUCUGUGUGGGGCUGGCAGCCCAAGCCCCAGGGAGAGUGGGGCCGGGCAGUUGGGGCUGGUAGCUUGAGCCCCGGCCGUCAGCAGGACCUGCAGCCCAAGCUCAGUUGACAGGAGCAGUCAACGGGGUCCAGCAGCAGGAGCCCCCUGGAGUACGGAGGAAAUUUAAACUUAAAUCCCUGGAAAUAUUCAUUUUUAGGAGAGGGUUCAUGAGAUUUCACAAUUUAGAGGGGUUCAUGGGCUGUUAACAUUUAGGAACCACUGUACUAGACUGAUUUUUCCUGCUUUGGUGCCUACUUUGCUUUGGUAGAAAGUAUGUUCUGCUCUGUGCCUCAGACGAUACAAUGUACUGAGCUCUUUUCUGCUGAUUCAUUGCAUAACGAAAUUGUCAGCUCAUACCCUCAUUCCACCAAGUUCCUUUUGGUUCCAGUCUCUCCUCUUGACAGGGGCCAGCUCCUCCAAUUUUAAGCAGCAUGCAAGUUCCCCCAUUACCUCUUUUGGUCAGUUUUGCACAAAAAGUUCAUGGGAGCAUACUGUGUGUGUCAACUGAUGUUUGCUAGUGGCUGUUAUAGGGAAGUACUAGACUGGAGGUACCAGUUCAUCAGCUGAAGCAUAGCACAUACAGAGGCUUCUAGUGGCCAGAAUGACAUACAUUACACAGAAGUCACCAGUUUAGGCCUCCCUCCCAAAAUUACUCUGCUAGUUGGAUAUUGCCCUUGAUGGGUUCGUAACCUUUGCACUUACUCAUUUAGAUUUCUAAGUAUAAAUUCAAGACCAAAAAUUCAUGUAAUUUGUUUCCCAAUGGAAAGCUUUAUUGACAAAUUUCCCCAACAUUCACCUGUAGAGAAAAACAGUUCAAUAUCUAAGCUUCAGCAGUCCCUCAUUUAACUGACACUGUUUUCCCCACACUGUGGGUAAUUUCAGCCACAAACAAUAAAACCUGGUAAAUGACACUCUACACUCCACCUAUUUCCUAUCACAUCUGCCUUCUAAUUUUUCAUAGUAUGCAUUCCCCCAACACCUGCAAAAUGGGGGAACAAGCAUGGUUAUUGAGGUUUACGAUCAGCAGAUCCAAAUGUCAAAACUUGCUUCUCUAAAGG